GUGUGUAUAUAUAUAGGCAACUCUUGUUCACUUUGGCAAAGACUAGAAUUAUUAUCCUUACCAAUUUAAACUACCCAUAUUCCUAUUCUUAUCUUACUUUCCACUUAUUUGAGUUUAUCUUCAUCACUUCUUUUAGUGUUUUAGUAAGAUGUGACUUCAUCAACUAAUAUUCAUAAGUGUGAAAAAUCAAAAACAGUACAAAAAGG
rnacentral:lncRNA from 1 species